UACGUAGGGCGCAAGCGUUAUCCGGAAUUAUUGGGUGUAAAGAGCUCGUAGGCGGUUUGUCGCGUCUGCCGUGAAAGUCCGGGGCUCAACUCCGGAUCUGCGGUGGGUACGGGCAGACUAGAGUGUGGUAGGGGAGACUGGAAUUCCUGGUGUAGCGGUGAAAUGCGCAGAUAUCAGGAGGAACACCGGUGGCGAAGGCGGGUCUCUGGGCCGUAACUGACGCUGAGGAGCGAAAGCGUGGGGAGCGAACAGG
rnacentral:rRNA from 1 species